rnacentral:lncRNA from 1 species
GAUGGUGUGGCAAGAGUAGCCGGACCAGAUGGUAUUGGCCUCUGUCUAAUUGGAGUAGUUGGUCUACGAUUAGAACAUCACAGACCUACAAAGAAAAUCUAUGAAUAUUGGAGAAGAAGGUGGUAGGUUCUCCGGCAAGAACCCUUCGAUGAUCAAUUCAGUAUCUCGAUCGAAAAGGGAGAGCAGUAGAGAAAGAUGGAGUAAAAGUGAGUCCAGAACCUUUCAUUUUUCUCCUAACUUCCUCUUUUUUUGUCCGAGGAGACUUGCUAGAUGGUUGGCAUUUAUCGAAUUUGAGAUAGUGACUGUCAGAGUAAAGAUGAUAGGUGUCGAAGGUUUAGUUGCAUGGUCUGUCACCUACGUCCGAUGAAGCAGUAGAUGUUGGUAGACUGCUGCAAAGCUUAUUGCCCAUAAGAUUCGUGUGUCCGAGAUUUCGAAGAGUGUCC